GGGCGAUUAGCUCAGUUGGUUAGAGCGCUUCCUUGACAUGGAAGAGGCCAGAGGUUCGAGUCCUCUAUCGCCCA
rnacentral:tRNA from 1 species